rnacentral:rRNA from 1 species
GGACAGAAAGACCCUAUGAAGCUUUACUGUAACUUGAAAUUGAAAUUGGACUUUAUUUGCGCAGUAUAGGUGGGAGGCGUUGAGAAUAUUCUUGCGGGAAUAUUGGAGCCAUCAGUGAGAUACCACUCUUGUAAUGUUAGAUUUCUAACUUUGAAUCAUUAUCUGGUCAAAGAACAGUUUCAGGCGGGCAGUUUGACUGGGGCGGUCGCCUCCCAAACGGUAACGGAGGCGUACAAAGGUUUCCUCUGAACGGGUAGAAAUCGUAUCUAGAGUGUAAAGGCAUAAGGAAGCUUGACUGUGAGACCUACAAGUCGAGCAGGGACGAAAGUCGGUCUUAGUGAUCUGACGGUGCUGAGUGGAAAGGCCGUCACUCAACGGAUAAAAGUUACUCUAGGGAUAACAGGCUGA